rnacentral:rRNA from 1 species
GAUGAACGCUGGCGGCGUGCCUAAUACAUGCAAGUCGAGCGAACGGACGAGAAGCUUGCUUUUCUGAUGUUAGCGGCGGACGGGUGAGUAACACGUGGAUAACCUACCUAUAAGACUGGGAUAACUUCGGGAAACCGGAGCUAAUACCGGAUAAUAUUUUGAACCGCAUGGUUCAAAAGUGAAAGACGGUCUUGCUGUCACUUAUAGAUGGAUCCGCGCUGCAUUAGCUAGUUGGUAAGGUAACGGCUUACCAAGGCAACGAUGCAUAGCCGACCUGAGAGGGUGAUCGGCCACACUGGAGCUGAGACACGGUCCAGACUCCUACGGGAGGCAGCAGUAGGGAAUCUUCCGCAAUGGGCGAAAGCCUGACGGAGCAACGCCGCGUGAGUGAUGAAGGUCUUCGGAUCGUAAAACUCUGUUAUUAGGGAAGAACAUAUGUGUAAGUAACUGUGCACAUCUUGACGGUACCUAAUCAGAAAGCCACGGCUAACCACGUG